UUUCUAACUGGAAUCCGUAUGUAUCUCCACUGUAGACAACAGGCUGUGUCUUCAAGUUUGUCUUUUCCUUUGCCCGGAUAUAACUAUGCUGUUGGCUUCAAUCAUAUGGUUUGUUAUUGAAGGUUCUCUGUAUGAGACCGUCUCUUGCUGUAUGCUCUAUGUUCUGGGGCCUCUGAGGUUGUUUUGGGUGAAACCAUUAGCCACAGAUUUGCCAGAUAAAAUCUUGAAGUAUAUCAUGAUUUCACAUACUGAUCAUGCAGCAUUCAUGGCAGUGAUGUAUUCAGUACUUUUAGCUGAACAUUUUCCAAAUAUCAGCACAGUCUUCAGCUCAUCCAGCUUUGGUUUGCUUGUCCUGAUGUGUCUCCUCUUCAUUAUACAAUUGGCUAAAGAGAAGAAGAUGCUGUCAUACUCUGGAGAGUCGAGCAGAAAGAUGUACAGUAGAGUUCCAGAGUUUGUGGCUACUUGUGGCCUUUCAGGGCUGCCUUCAUUACAGCUCGCCCUCCUGCUCUACACUCAUUUUGCCUCCAGUGCAGUGUUCUUCAUUAUGACUCUUCCAGUACUUCAUUUGAUGUCUUAUAGAUUUUGUAAUGGAACAAAAAGUGCAGAUCAACAAUGUCAACGUUUUCUAUGUAAAUUAAUAUGGUUGGUGAUGAUUGUGAUGACUGGAGUAAUGGUGUAUUUUUAUACUAUGCUCUUGAGAAAUAAAGACGCUGAUGCAGGACCUGUCUGUGUGGCAGGAUUUGUUCAAGCCUUGUGGGUGCUUGCAUUUUCUAAAGUCCCAGUCUAUUAUCAGAAGCUUCACAUGAGGAAAAUAUUGUUCCUGUAUGGAUCAGCUGGUCUUGUUUUAGUGAACUCUGCUGCACUGAUGACAGAACUGAUAAUGAAAGCAGUUCAUGGUGUGCGUCUGGUGGGAGAUUUGCGAAUCGUUGUCUUUCCAUCUGAGUGGCUCUUUACUGUAGCACUGCUGGUCUUAUCCGUUGUUGCAUCCUGUGAGUAUGACCAGAAGUGGAUCACUAUGUAUGAAUCAUCCAUCAUGCUGUCUUUUAUAUUUGCUGUAUCAAUGCAUUAACUUAGGGUGAUCAGUUGAGACUAAUCCUCAAAUCCUUUUCUCUCACACAUCUCCGGGAAAGCUGCCUGCACAGAGUCUCAGAAGGCUUCUCAUGUGAGUUUGUUUGAUUACAUAUGAAUUUGGUUUAUUAAUACAAUAAUUUUGAAUACAUUGACAUUUAAUGUGGACAAAGUAAAACUAUAAAAAGAAGUCAUGUGUAUACUGUUUGAAAUAUGCGCUUUCUUCUAGUUGCAGAUGCCGUCAGAUUAUAAUGGGACUCCUGGUACAAAUCAUACAAGUAUAGAUAUGACACAGAGGACAGAAGAAUCCCAUGAAAUGGAAACUCUGAGAAAUGCUGGGAACAGUGAGGAGCAUCAAGAAGAGGAGAUCAACUAACAGUGAACUGUACUGUUUAAAAGAUCUGACUGAACUUUUCUCACUGGGCAGAGGUUUUCAUGGUAUGAAACAUUUCAGAUGGUAAGACUGGCAAACAUGCCAUUUCUUUGUCUGUGUAACUAUUAGCAGCAGAGACUCUGGAUGUAUUUUUAUAUCUGUGAUGCUGUGCCAUUGAUAUUGUGG
ensembl:lncRNA